UACGUAGGGUGCAAGCGUUACUCGGAAUUACUGGGCGUAAAGCGUGCGUAGGUGGUGAGUUAAGUCUGUCGUGAAAGCCCCGGGCUCAACCUGGGAAUGGCGAUGGAUACUGGCUCGCUAGAGUGCGGUAGAGGAGAGUGGAAUUCCCGGUGUAGCAGUGAAAUGCGUAGAGAUCGGGAGGAACAUCAGUUGCGAAGGCGGCUCUCUGGACCAGCACUGACGCUCAUGUGCGAAAGCGUGGGGAGCAAACAGG
rnacentral:rRNA from 1 species